rnacentral:rRNA from 1 species
GACGAACGCUGGCGGCGUGCUUAACACAUGCAAGUCGAACGAAGAGCGAUGGAAGCUUGCUUCUAUCAAUCUUAGUGGCGAACGGGUGAGUAACGCGUAAUCAACCUGCCCUUCAGAGGGGGACAACAGUUGGAAACGACUGCUAAUACCGCAUACGAUCCAAUCUCGGCAUCGGGACUGGAUGAAAGGUGGCCUCUAUUUAUAAGCUAUCACUGAAGUAGGGGAUUGCGUCUGAUUAGCUAGUUGGAGGGGUAACGGCCCACCAAGGCGAUGAUCAGUAGCCGGUCUGAGAGGAUGAACGGCCACAUUGGGACUGAGACACGGCCCAGACUCCUACGGGAGGCAGCAGUGGGGAAUAUUCCGCAAUGGACGAAAGUCUGACGGAGCAACGCCGCGUGAGUGAUGACGGCCUUCGGGUUGUAAAGCUCUGUUAAUCGGGACGAAUGGUUCUUGUGCGAAUAGUGCGAGGAUUUGACGGUACCGGAAUAGAAAGCCACGGCUAACUACGU